rnacentral:rRNA from 1 species
CCUACGGGCGGCAGCAGUGAGGAAUAUUGGUCAAUGGCCGCAAGCCUGAACCAGCCAAGUAGCGUGAGGGAUGACUGCCCUACGGGUUGUAAACUUCUUUUAUAAAGGCAUAAAGUUAGGCACGUGUGCCUUUUUGUAUGUACUUUAUGAAUAAGGAUCGGCUAACUCCGUGCCAGCAGCCGCGGUAAUACGGAGGAUCCGGGCGUUAUCCGGAUUUAUUGGGUUUAAAGGGAGCGUAGAUGGGUUGUUAAGUCAGUUGUGAAAGUUUGCGGCUCAACCGUAAAAGUGCAAUUGAUACUGGAAGUCUUGAGUACAGUUGAGGUAGGCGGAAUUCGUGGUGUAGCGGUGAAAUGCUUAGAUAUCACGAAGAACCCCGAUUGCGAAGGCAGCUUACUAAACUGCCACUGACACUGAUGCUCGAAAGCGUGGGUAUCAAACAGGAUUAGAUACCCGUGUAGUC